AGUCAAGUAAAUAAAGCGCGUAUGGUGGAUGCCUUGGCAGUAAGAGGCGAUAAAGGACGUAGUAGCUUGCGAUAAGCUUCGGGAAGCUGGCAAACAAGCAAUGAUCCGGAGAUUUCCGAAUGGGAAAACCCAACCUUUUGAGGUUAUUAUGUGCUAAAUUCAUAGGUACAUAAAGCGAACCUGGAGAACUGAAACAUCUAAGUACCCAGAGGAAAAAAAAUCAACCGAGAUUCCGUUAGUAGCGGCGAGCGAAAGCGGAACAGCCCAGUUACUAAAUCAUUAUUAGUUUUAGCAGAAUGUUCUGGAAAGUUCAGCCAUAGUAGGUGAUAGCCCCGUAUGUAAAAAGGCUAAUAAUGUGGGUAACAAUGAGUAAGUCGGGACACGUGAAAUCUUGACUGAAUAUGGGGGGACCAUCCUCCAAGGCUAAAUACUCCUUACUGACCGAUAGCGAACUAGUACCGUAAGGGAAAGGUAAAAAGAACCCCGAUAAGGGGAGUGAAAUAGAACCUGAAACCGUAUGCGUACAAGCAGUCAAAGCAUUUUUUAAAAAAUGUAAUGGCGUACCUUUUGUAUAAUGGGUCAGCGACUUACUUGUUGUAGCAAGCUUAACCGUAUAGGGGAGGCGUAAGGAAACUGAGUCUGAAAUAGGCGUUUAGUUGCAACGAGUAAACCCGAAACCGGGCGAUCUAUCUAUGACCAGGGUGAAGGUCAAGUAACAUUGACUGGAGGCCCGAACCCACUACUGUUGAAAAAGUAGGGGAUGAGUUGUAGAUAGGAGUGAAAGACUAAUCAAGCUCGGAAAUAGCUGGUUCUCCUCGAAAGCUAUUUAGGUAGCGCCUCGUGUAUGACUCUUGGGGGUAGAGCACUGUUUUGGCUAAAAGGCUUCCCAGCCUGUUAAACCAAGGCAAACUCCGAAUACCAAGAAGUUUUAGCAUGGGAGACACACUACGGGUGAUAAGGUCCGUGGUGAAAAGGGAAACAGCCCAGACCGCCAGCUAAGGUCCCAAAAUUAUAGUUAAGUGAAAAACGAUGUGGGAGGUCUCAGACAGCCAGGAGGUUGGCUUAGAAGCAGCCAUCCUUUAAAGAAAGCGUAAUAGCUCACUGGUCAAGUCAUCCUGCGCGAAAGAUUUAACGGGGCUUAAACUAUAUACCGAAGCUGCGGAGCUCUUUUUUAAAGAGCUGGUAGAGGAGCGUUCUGUAAACCUGUAAAGGUAAAUUGAAAAAUUUGCUGGAGGUAUCAGAAGUGCAAAUGCUGACAUAAGUAACGAUAAUGUAGGUGAAAAACCUACACGCCGAAAGUCCAAGGUUUCCUGCGCAACGCUAAUCGGCGCAGGGUGAGUCGGCCCCUAAGGCAAAGUAGAAAUGCGUAGUCGAUGGGAAACAGGUUAAUAUUCCUGUACUUUAUAAUACUGCGAUGGGAGGACGAAGAAGGCUAGGUCAGCCACUUAAUGGUUAUAGUGGUUCAAGUACGUAGGAAAAGUUCUUUGGCAAAUCCGGGAACUCUAUUCUGAGAUAUGAUGACAAAACAUGAUUUAUUCAUGUAAAGUGACUAAUGCCACGCUUCCAGGAAAAGUCUCUAAGCUUCAGGUAUUGUAAAACCGUACCUAAACCGACACAGGUAGACAAGUAGAGAAUACUAAGGCGUUUGAGAGAACUUGGGUGAAGGAACUAGGCAAAAUGACACCGUAACUUCGGGAGAAGGUGUGCCUUUAAUAGGUGAAAGUCUUUACGACUAAAGCUGAAAAAGGUUGCAAAUACCAGGUGGCUGCGACUGUUUACUAAAAACACAGCACUCUGCAAACUCGUAAGAGGACGUAUAGGGUGUGACGCCUGCCCGGUGCCGGAAGGUUAAAUGAUGGAGUUAACUUUUGAGUAAAGCUUCAGAUUGAAGCCCCGGUAAACGGCGGCCGUAACUAUAACGGUCCUAAGGUAGAAUUGCUGCCUUAGUAAAAUCUGGCUAUAUGCUGGAAACUCCGAGUAUCCUGCAGUACUUGCUUUACCAUAAAAUUUUUUAAUUUUUAUUUAAAUUUUAUCUAAAGCAGUAAAAAUCUGACAGGUGCGGACAAUCAGCAGGAAAGACUAGUAAAAAUUAACUAGAUAAUUAGUUUUGUAAAUAUUAUUAAAUAAUUUUAAUCAAUUAUGUUAAACAUACACUCAAAAAAUUUAAAAACCCUUAAUAUUAAUAAAGUUAUUUAAUAUUAACAAAUAUAAGUAAAUAUUAAAUAUCAUAAAUAUUGUAAGUAAAUAUUAAAUUUUUUGUGAAAACAUAUAAAAAUUUUGUGAAAACUAAAAAAUUGUUUAUUUUUUAAAAAUAUUUAUUCUAAACUUCAAAAAAUUAAACUGUUUAAAAGUUAUUAAUAAAAUAUUACCCUUUUGUAAGGGUUGAUUAAGAUUACUAAAAUUAUUUACGUAAUUAGUAAUUAAGCGUUAGAAAUUAUAAUCCAAAUUUAUUAGAAUCCUCAGAGACUAUACGCCAGACAUUCAAUAAAUUUUGAAUUAAAGAUAAAUAAUUAAAUAAUUUUAAAUUUUGAAUGAAGAUAUAGUCCCGACUACAUGGCGACAUGUAGAAAAAGAAAAGUUACUUUUAAGUUAUUUAAAUUCAUUAAAUAAGUUAAGAUUUCAAGCGAAAUUCCUUGUCGGGUAAGUUCCGACCUGCACGAAUGGCGUAACGAUGGCCACGCUGUCUCCACCCAAGGCUCAGUGAAAUUGAAAUCGCUGUGAAGAUGCAGCGUACCCGCGGCUAGACGGAAAGACCCCGUGAACCUUUACUACAGCUUUACACUGAAUUUUGAAUAUACCUGUGUAGAAUAGGUGGGAGGCUUUGAAGCUGAACGCUAGUUUUAGUGGAGCCAUUCUUGAAAUACCACCCUAGUGUGUUUAAAGUUCUAACCUUAACUCGUUAUCCGGGUUGGAGACAGUGUAUGGUAGGUAGUUUGACUGGGGCGGUCUCCUCCAAAAAAGUAACGGAGGAGUACAAAGGUAUCCUCAGCACGGUCGGAAAUCGUGCAUUGUGUGCAAAGGCAUAAGGGUGCUUAACUGUGAGACUGACAAGUCAAACAGGUACGAAAGUAGGUCUUAGUGAUCCGGUAGUCCUUUAUGGAAGGGCUAUCGCUCAACGGAUAAAAGGUACUCCGGGGAUAACAGGCUAAUAUCACCCAAGAGUUCAUAUCGACGGUGGUGUUUGGCACCUCGAUGUCGGCUCAUCACAUCCUGGGGCUGUAGCCGGUCCCAAGGGUAUGGCUGUUCGCCAUUUAAAGUGGUACGUGAGCUGGGUUUAGAACGUCGUGAGACAGUUCGGUCCCUAUCUGCCGUGGGCGUUGGAGAUUUGAGAGGAGCUACUCCUAGUACGAGAGGACCGGAGUGGACGUACCUCUGGUGUUCCGGUUGUCACGCCAGUGGCACUGCCGGGUAGCUAAGUACGGACAGGAUAAUCGCUGAAAGCAUCUAAGCAAGAAGCCUCCCUCAAGAUAAGAUCUCCCUGGACCCCCCUUAAAAAAGGGGUCCCUAAAGAUUCGUUGAAGACUACAACGUUGAUAGGCAGGAUGUAAAAGCUCAGUAAUGAGUGAAGCUAACCUGUACUAAUUAAUCGUGAGACUUGAUUAU
rnacentral:rRNA from 1 species